UCUUGGACAAAUAUCAAGUAGA
rnacentral:miRNA from 1 species